rnacentral:rRNA from 1 species
UACGAAGGGGGGCUAGCGUUGCUCGGAAUUACUGGGCGUAAAGCGCACGUAGGCGGAUUGUUAAGUCGGGGGUGAAAUCCUGGAGCUCAACUCCAGAACUGCCUUCGAUACUGGCGAUCUCGAGUUCGGGAGAGGUGAGUGGAACUGCGAGUGUAGAGGUGAAAUUCGUAGAUAUUCGCAAGAACACCAGUGGCGAAGGCGGCUCACUGGCCCGAUACUGACGCUGAGGCUCGAAAGCGUGGGGAGCAAAGCAGGG